CCUACGGGAGGCAGCAGUGGGGAAUAUUGCACAAUGGGGGAAACCCUGAUGCAGCGAAGCCGCGUGAGUGAAGAAGGAUUUCUGUAUGUAAAGCUCUAUCAGCAGGGGAGAAAAUGACGGUACCUGAUUAAGAAGCCCCGGGUAACUACGUGCCAGCAGCCGCGGUAAUACGUCGGGGGCAAGCGUUAUUCGGAUUUACUGGGUGUAAAGGGAGCGUAGACGGCAGCACAGGUCUGGAGUGAAAGGCCGGGGCUUAACCCCGGAACUGCUGUGGAAACUGGGCAGCUAGAGUGCAGGAGAGGUAAGUGGAAUUCCUGGUGUAGCGGUGAAAUGCGUAGAUAUUAGGAGGAACACCAGUGGCGAAGGCGGCUUACUGGACUGUAACUGACGUUGAGGCUCGAAAGCGUGGGGAGCAAACAGGAUUAGAUACCCUUGUAGUC
rnacentral:rRNA from 1 species